GCGACCCCAGGUCAGGCGGGANUACCCGCUGAGUUUAAGCAUAUCAAUA
rnacentral:rRNA from 1 species